GGUAAAAUGAUAAAUCUGCUAAAGUAAAAAGAAGAUAAAACUAACCCAAUCAUAAAUUAGAGAAAAGGAAGGAGACUCUCUUGUCCUCACUUGGGGCCUCCCUACUCUGUGGCUACCCAGAAACCCCCCCUCGCCCCUCCUCCAGGGUUUGAGCCUCCUGAUGCAGCAACAUCUGCCUGGACAAUGAGAGGACCAGCAGGCUGAAGAUCUAUCUAAACACAAGACCAAUAAGAAAUUACAAAGAAAAAAAAACGAGUGCUCAUCAGGAACUUAACAUCAGAAUAUUCCAUCUGCCAGAAUUUAUGUAACUCAACAACGACACAACCGAUGUGAAUUCUGUCGGGCUGCAAGAAUACCUGUUAACAACCACCAAAGCAUUAUCGGUCCUAAUUGAGGCCUCCUCGGGGAAACAAGGUUUAGGCAGAAGUGGGUCCUCUGAAGCUCGCAUUUAGUCCACUGUCCAAACGGACUGAACUUUUAAGACUCUGGGGGCAGUUACUGUGCUGAUGGGUGCUGCUAAAAAUGAGACAGCCGAAGAACUCUUAAGGGAAAAAAAAAUCACUGGAAUGUGUGCACCGGAGAAGACAAACUAAGUAUAUGCUGCUGGCCCAGAGGAGGAAUCACUGAAGAACUGAUGGUUCAAUAUUAUAAAUACUCUUAAACUUAUGAAAAGUUUGUGUUCUGACAGAGGGCGUAUCUACUGCUUGGAUCUCAGAACACUACUUCUG